rnacentral:misc_RNA from 1 species
GGAUUUCAUUGUCCUCAGUUUGAUCCAUUGAACCCCCGUUUUGGACAUUGUAAGAGCCUGAGUGGGACUGGAGAUGCUCUUCAUUUCCCCUGUGGCCAUUGCCAAGAGGAUGACUAAACUUCAGAUCAAGAUCAAUUCCGCCACCUUCAUAUGUAAUAGGAUCAAAGUUGGUCACUGCAUCCCUUCCAUUACAUAUAACAGCUGCCCUGUCAUACGCCCUUGCAGCUUCUACUUCACUG